rnacentral:rRNA from 1 species
AUUCCAGCUCCAAUAGCGUAUAUUAAAGUUGUUGCGGUUAAAAAGCUCGUAGUUGGAUUUGUGGUUGGGUCCGUCGGUCCGGCACAUUGUGCGGGUACUUGAUGGACUCGUCCAUCCUUGGGUGGAAUCUGUGUGGCAUUAAGUUGUCGUGCAGGGGAUGCCCAUCGUUUACUGUGAAAAAAUUAGAGUGUUCAAAGCAGGCUUAUGCCGUUGAGUAUAUUAGCAUGGAAUAAUGAGAUAGGACCUUGGUACUAUUUUGUUGGUUUGCGCACCGAGGUAAUGAUUAAUAGGGACAGUUGGGGGUAUUCGUAUUCCAUUGUCAGAGGUGAAAUUCUUGGAUUUAUGGAAGACAAACUAAUGCGAAAGCAUCUACCAAGGAUGUUUUCAUU